rnacentral:rRNA from 1 species
UACGUAGGGGGCAAGCGUUGUCCGGAUUUAUUGGGCGUAAAGAGCGUGUAGGCGGUCAGGUAGGUCGGUUGUGAAAACUGGAGGCUCAACCUUCAGAGGUCGACCGAAACCCCCUGGCUAGAGUCCGGGAGAGGAGAGUGGAAUUCCUGGUGUAGCGGUGAAAUGCGCAGAUAUCAGGAAGAACACCCGUGGCGAAAGCGGCUCUCUGGAACGGUACUGACGCUGAGACGCGAAAGCGUGGGAGCGAACAGG